UACGUAGGGUGCAAGCGUUGUCCGGAAUUAUUGGGCGUAAAGAGCUCGUAGGCGGUUCGUCGCGUCGGCUGUGAAAUCCCGAGGCUCAACCUCGGGUCUGCAGUCGAUACGGGCGGACUGGAGUUCGGCAGGGGAGACUGGAAUUCCCGGUGUAGCGGUGAAAUGCGCAGAUAUCGGGAGGAACACCCGUAGCGAAGGCGGCACUCUGGGCCGGAACUGACGCUGAGGAGCGAAAGCGUGGGGAGCAAACAGG
rnacentral:rRNA from 1 species